rnacentral:lncRNA from 1 species
AUUAAUACAAGAUAGCUUUCGCUAAAAUCGACCAACAAACAAACAUUUUCUACCCAGAACUACGUAAGCCUUGAAUUCUCUAUUGCACUUGGAGAUACGUAGGAGUAGGAUUGUGAAAUCUUGUCAGGCCCAUUAAUAAAAAAAUUAGGUUUAGUUCCUUUCUUAGGUCCCUAAUAAUAAAAAACUUUUUCGGUCUUCUC